rnacentral:rRNA from 1 species
GGCGGCGUGCUUAACACAUGCAAGUCGAGCGCGAACGGGGUUUCGGCCCCUAGUAGAGCGGCGCACGGGUGAGUAACACGUGGGUAAUCUGCCCUAGGGUUUGGGAUAACCAUUGGAAACGGUGGCUAAUACCAUAUAAGACCACGGCAUGCGGAUGUCGUGGGAAAAGCGGGGGACCUUUCGGGGCCUCGCACCAGAGGAUGAGCCCGCGUCCCAUCAGCUAGUUGGUAGGGUAACGGCCUACCAAGGCAAAGACGGGUAGCUGGUCUGAGAGGAUGAUCAGCCACACUGGGACUGAGACACGGCCCAGACUCCUACGGGAGGCAGCAGUGGGGAAUAUUGCGCAAUGGGCGAAAGCCUGACGCAGCGACGCCGCGUGGGGGAUGAAGGCCUUCGGGUUGUAAACUCCUGUCAAGCGGGAAGAACGAAUGUCUGGCUAAUAUCUGGGCAUUCUGACGGUACCGCUAGAGGAAGCACCGGCUAACUCUGUGCCAGCAGCCGCGGUAAGACAGAGGGUGCAAGCGUUGUUCGGAAUUACUGGGCGUAAAGGGCGCGUAGGCGGUAUGGAAAGUCAGAUGUGAAAUCCCUCGUUUCAAGCGGGGAACUGCAUCUGAAACUAUUGUACUUGAGUCCUGGAGAGGGAAGUGGAAUUCCUGGUGUAGAGGUGAAAUUCGUAGAUAUCAGGAGGAACACCGGUGGCGAAGGCGACUUCCUGGACAGAGACUGACGCUGAGGCGCGAAAGCGUGGGUAGCAAACAGGAUUAGAUACCCUGGUAGUCCACGCUGUAAACGAUGGAUACUAGCUGCUGGGGGUAUUGACCCCUCCGGUGGCGGAGCUAACGCAUUAAGUAUCCCGCCUGGGGAGUACGGCCGCAAGGUUAAAACUCAAAGGAAUUGACGGGGGCCCGCACAAGCGGUGGAGCAUGUAGUUUAAUUCGACGCAACGCGAAGAACCUACCCAGUUGACAUCCCGGAAUUGUGGAGACAGUGGAGUGCCUUCGGGGAGCCCGGUGACAGUGCUGCAUGGCGUCGUCAGCUCUUCGUGAGAUGUUGGUUAGUCCCGCAACGGGC